UACGUAGGGGGCUAGCGUUGUCCGGAAUUACUGGGCGUAAAGGGCGCGUAGGCGGUCCUGAUCGUCGGAUGUGAAAGGCCUGGGCUCAACCUGGGAAUGGCAUCCGAUACGGCGGGACUGGAGUGUGGGAGAGGUUGGUGGAAUUCCCAGUGUAGAGGUGAAAUUCGUAGAUAUUGGGAAGAACACCGGUGGCGAAGGCGGCCAACUGGACCACAACUGACGCUGAGGCGCGAAAGCGUGGGGAGCAAACAGG
rnacentral:rRNA from 1 species